GUAUAAUAUCACAGCGUCACAGCUCAGUGAAGUGUAUAUGGGUCUCCCCAGUGAUAAUAUCAGUGUCAACAGCUCAGUGAAGUGUCAUGGAGCUCCCAAGUGAUAAUAUCACAGGUCACAGCUCAGUGAGUGUCAUGGAGUCUCCCCAGUGAUAAUAUCACGGUCACAGCUCAGUGAAGGUCAUGGAGUCUCCCCAGUUAUAAUAUCACAGUGUCACAGCUCAGUGAAGUGUCAUGGAGUCUCCCCAGUGAUAAUAUCCCAGCGUCACCGUUCAGUGAAGUGUCAUGGAGUCUCCCCAGUGAUACUAUCCCAGCGUCACAGAUCACGAUUGAAGUGUCAUGGAUUCUCCCCAGUGAUAACUAUCACAGCGUCACAGAUCAG
rnacentral:lncRNA from 1 species